GUCUCUGAAAAGGAAUCGAGUUCAAGGGAAGAAAGCUGAAUCCUAUUAGCUGAUUGAUACUGCUCAUGAAAAAACUCCAGCUGCUGCGCUGCUGUAGGAAAACGAACAAUAUCAAUUAACUUGGUGUCUUUUACUUUAAUUUUGGAUUUCAAAUUUUCAAUAGAUUCGCCAUUGUUGCUGCUGCUGCUUCUACUCUUCUUCACUUUUUCCUUCUUCCUUUUGCUAUUCACUACUUUUUUUGGGUUGUAAGGGAAAUCGCUUCU
rnacentral:misc_RNA from 1 species